AUCAAGGUAGUAGAAUUUAAUAUGGAAGGUUUAGGACCUUUUGGUAAGAUUUAUUUCUUUCUUGAUG
rnacentral:tRNA from 1 species